ensembl:miRNA
UUGGUGCAAAAGUAAUUGCGGUCUUUGUCAUUAUUGUCAAUGGCAGAGACUACAAUUACUUUU